rnacentral:rRNA from 1 species
CGUAGGUGAACCUGCGGAGGGAUCAUUACUGAGUACUAUACUCUCUACCCUUUGUGAACUAUUAUACCUGUUGCUUCGGCGGCGCCCGCUAGGGUGCCCGCCGGUCUCAUCAGAAUCUCUGUUUUCGAACCCGACGAUACUUCUGAGUGUUCUUAGCGAACUGUCAAAACUUUUAACAACGGAUCUCUUGGCUCCAGCAUCGAUGAAGAACGCAGCGAAACGCGAUAUGUAAUGUGAAUUGCAGAAUUCAGUGAAUGGCAUGCCUGUCCGAGCGUCGUUUCAACCCUCGAGCCCCUGUGGCCCGGCGUUGGGGAUCCAUCGAAUCUUUGAACGCACAUGGCGCCUUCCAGUAUCCUGGGAUGCCACGGCAGGCCCCUAAAACCAGUGGCGGACCCGAUGGGCCCUCUCCUUUACGUAGUAGCAUUCGCCUCGUAUUGGGAGUCCUCGGCGUCCUGCCUCUAAACCCCCCACAAGCCCGCUCCGGCGGCACCAAGGUUGACCUCGGAUCAGGUAGGAAUACCCGCUGAACUUAAGCAUAUCAAUAAGCGGAG